UUCCUUAGAUCGUUUCUUCCUACUUGGAUAACUGUGGCAAUUCUAGAGCUAAUACAUGCAGUGAGCCUGAAGCCCUUUGGGCGACGGGUGCUUUUAUUAGACCAAGAUCGAUCGGGUUUCGGCCCGUAUUGUGUGGUGACUCUGGAUAACUUUGUGCUGAUCGCAUGGCCACGAGCCGGCGACGUUUCUUUCAAGUGUCUGCCUUAUCAACUUUCGAUGGUAGGUUACUUGCUUACCAUGGUUGUUACGGGUAACGGAGAAUCAGGGUUCGAUUCCGGAGAGGGAGCCUGAGAAACGGCUACCACAUCCAAGGAAGGCAGCAGGCGCGCAAAUUACCCACUCCCGGCACGGGGAGGUAGUGACGAAAAAUAACAAUACGGGACUCUUUUGAGGCCCCGUAAUUGAAAUGAGUACACUCUAAAUCCUUUAACGAGGAUCAAUUGGAGGGCAAGUCUGGUGCCAGCAGCCGCGGUAAUUCCAGCUCCAAUAGCGUAUACUAAAGCUGCUGCGGUUAAAAAGCUCGUAGUUGGAUCUCAGUUCCAGACGAGUAGUGCAUCUACCCGAUGCGACGGCUCGGACUGAACAUCAUGCCGGUCCUUUCUUGGUGCACUUCAUUGUGUGCCUCGAGAAGGCCGGUGCUUUUACUUUGAAAAAAUUAGAGUGCUCAACGCAGGCGAGUCGCCUGAAUAAACUUGCAUGGAAUAAUAGAACAAGACCUCGUUUCUGUUCUGUUGGUUUUUGGAAUACGAGGUAAUGAUUAAGAGGGACAGACGGGG
rnacentral:rRNA from 1 species